AUUGAACGCUGGCGGCAGGCCUAACACAUGCAAGUCGAACGAGUGGCGGACGGGUGAGUAAUGUCUGGGAAACUGCCCGAUGGAGGGGGAUAACUACUGGAAACGGUCGCUAAUACCGCAUACCCUCGGAUGUGCCCAGAUGGGAUUCGCUAGUAGGUGGGGUAAUGGCUCACCUAGGCGACGAUCCCUAGCUGGUCUGAGAGGAUGACCAGCCACACUGGAACGGAGAAAUGGUCCAGACUCCUACGGGAGGCAGCAGGGGGGAAUAUUGCACAAUGGGAGCAAGCCGGAUGCAGCCAUGCCGCGUGUAGGAAGAGGGCCUUCGGGUUGUAAAGUACUUUCAGCGGGGAGGCGUUACUCGCAGAAGAAGCACCGGAUAACUCCGUGCCAGCAGCCGCGGUAAUUC
rnacentral:rRNA from 1 species